rnacentral:rRNA from 1 species
AUAUCCUUCCGAAAGGAGGGGCAAUACCGAAUAUUGUCCGGAGCCGUGAAGGGUUCCGGGGAAAGGGAGGCCUCUGAUACAAGCUUUCGCCUUAAGAUGAGCCCAUGGCCCAUCAGCUAGUUGGUAGGGUAAAGGCCUACCAAGGCUACGACGGGUCGCUGGUCUGAGAGGACGACCAGCCACACUGGCACUGAGAUACGGGCCAGACUCCUACGGGAGGCAGCAGUGAGGAAUAUUGCGCAAUGGGGGAAACCCUGACGCAGCAACGCCGCGUGUGGGAAGAAGGCCUUCGGGUCGUAAACCACUUUUGCACGGGACGAAAAAGGGNUAUCGAACAAAUAUCCCCGAUGACGUACCGUGAGAAUAAGCCACGGCUAACUCUGUGCCAGCAGCCGCGGUAAGACAGAGGUGGCAAGCGUUGUUCGGAAUUACUGGGCGUAAAGAGUCUGUAGGUGGUUUGUCAAGUCUUUGGUGAAAGGCCGUAGCUUAACUAUGGGAAUGCCAAA